AUUUAAGGUUUUUAGAGUAGGUGGGUUAAACUUUAUUAAUCCCAUAGGGAAAUUGAGGUUAUCUGUUGCUCACACAUUAAUUCACAUCCACACAGCAUUAAAAUCGUACAGCUGGAGACAACCAUAAAUGGUACAAGAAUAUAAUAAAUAAAUACAUUACCACUAAAAAGAGGUCUAGU